GUCUACGGCCAUGCCACCCUGAACAAGCCUGAUACCGUCUGAUCUCAGAAGCUAAGUAGGGUCGGGCCUGGUUAGUAUUUGGAUGGGAGACCACCUAGGAAGACCAGAUGCUGUAGGCA
rnacentral:rRNA from 1 species